GUGCUCGCAUCAGCAGCACAUAUACUGAAAUUGGAACGAUGCAGAGAAGAUUAGCAUGGCCUUGCACAGGAAUUUCAAUAAAAAAAAAAAAACAUCGAGGAAGUGU
rnacentral:snRNA from 1 species